rnacentral:rRNA from 1 species
CCUACGGGUGGCAGCAGUGAGGAAUAUUGGUCAAUGGGCGUAAGUCUGAACCAGCCAAGUCGCGUGCGGGAUGAAGGCUCUAUGGAUCGUAAACUUCUUUUAUAAGGGAAUAAAGUGCGGUACGUGUCCCUUUCUGUAUGUACCUUACGAAUAAGGAUCGGCUAACUCCGUGCCAGCAGCCGCGGUAAUACGGAGGAUCCGAGCGUUAUCCGGAUUUAUUGGGUUUAAAGGGUGCGUAGGCGGUCGGUUAAGUUAGCGGUGAAAGUCCGUGGCUCAACCAUGGAAUUGCCGUUGAUACUGUGAGGCUUGAGAGUGUUUGAGGCAGGCGGAAUGCGUGGUGUAGCGGUGAAAUGCUUAGAGAUCACGCAGAACCCCGAUUGCGAAGGCAGCCUGCCAAGCCAUGACUGACGCUGAGGCACGAAAGCGUGGGGAUCAAACAGGAUUAGAUACCCGUGUAGUC